GCCUGGGUGGCUCAGUGGGUUGAGCAUCAGACUUCAGCUCUUAUCAUGAUCUCAGGGUUCAUGAGUUCAAGCCCUAUGUCGGGCU
rnacentral:tRNA from 1 species